rnacentral:rRNA from 1 species
AGCGAACGCUGGCGGCAGGCUUAACACAUGCAAGUCGAACGCCCCGCAAGGGGAGUGGCAGACGGGUGAGUAACACGUGGGAACGUACCCUUUGGUUCGGAAUAACUUGGGGAAACUCAAGCUAAUACCGGAUAAGCCCUUAUGGGGAAAGGUUUACUGCCGAAGGAUCGGCCCGCGUCUGAUUAGCUAGUUGGUGAGGUAAUGGCUCACCAAGGCGACGAUCAGUAGCUGGUCUGAGAGGAUGAUCAGCCACACUGGGACUGGGACACGGCCCAGACUCCUACGGGAGGCAGCAGUGGGGAAUAUUGGACAAUGGGGGCAACCCUGAUCCAGUCAUGCCGCGUGAGUGAUGAAGGCCUUAGGGUUGUAAAGCUCUUUUACCCGGGACGAUAAUGACUGUACCGGGAGAAUAAGCCCCGGCUAACCUCGUGCCAGCCGCCGCCGUAA